AAACCAAAUCAAAACCUGAAGUAUCGGUUUAGGGAUGGUGUAACCGGUGCGGUAUCAGUUCUUCAAAUCUCAAAAUCGGUAUAUACUGGUUCGGUUAUAAAAUAUGUCAAAAACUGGACCCGUUACGCCC